CCUACGGGCGGCUGCAGUGGGGAAUUUUGGACAAUGGGGGAAACCCUGAUCCAGCCAUCCCGCGUGUGCGAUGAAGGCCUUCGGUUUGUAAAGCACUUUUGGCAGGAAAGAACCGUCAUGGGUUAAUACCCCGUGAAACUGACGGUACCUCCAGAAUAAGCACCGGCUAACUACUUCCCAGCAGCCGCGGUAAUACGUAGGGGGAAGGCGUUAUUCGGAAUUACUGGGCGUAAAGCGUGCGCAGGCGGUUCGGAAAGAAAGAUGUGAAAUCCCAGAGCUUAACUUUGGAACUGCAUUUUUAACUACCGGGCUAGAGUGUGUCAGAGGGAGGUGGAAUUCCGCGUGUAGCAGUGAAAUGCGUAGAUAUGCGGAGGAACACCGAUGGCGAAGGCAGCCUCCUGGGAUAACACUGACGCGCAUGCACGAAAGCGUGGGGAGCAAACAGGAUUAGAUACCCCAGUAGUC
rnacentral:rRNA from 1 species